rnacentral:rRNA from 1 species
AUUGAACGCUGGCGGCAUGCCUUACACAUGCAAGUCGAACGGCAGCACGGGGGCAACCCUGGUGGCGAGUGGCGAACGGGUGAGUAAUGCAUCGGAACGUGCCCAGUAGUGGGGGAUAACCAGUCGAAAGGCUGGCUAAUACCGCAUACGACCUACGGGUGAAAGCGGGGGACCGUAAGGCCUCGCGCUAUUGGAGCGGCCGAUGUCUGAUUAGCUAGUUGGCGGGGUAAAGGCCCACCAAGGCGACGAUCAGUAGCUGGUCUGAGAGGACGACCAGCCACAUUGGGACUGAGACACGGCCCAGACGCCUACGGGAGGCAGCAGUAGGGAAGUUUGGACAAUGGGCGCAAGCCUGAUCCAGCCAUGCCGCGUGCGGGAAGAAGGCCUUCGGGUUGUAAACCGCUUUUGGCAGGAACGAAACGGCGCAAGCUAAUACCUUGCGCUAAUGACGGUACCUGCAGAAUAAGCACCGGCUAACUACGUGCCAGCCGCCGCCGUAACAC